rnacentral:tRNA from 1 species
GGGGGCGUAGUUCAAUUGGUAGAGCACAUGCUUUGCACGUAUGAAGUUAUCGGUUCGAGUCCGAUCGUCUCCA